AGUGAACGCUGGCGGUAGGCCUAACACAUGCAAGUCGAACGGCAGCACGGUAAGAGCUUGCUCUUACGGGUGGCGAGUGGCGGACGGGUGAGGAAUACAUCGGAAUCUACUUUUUCGUGGGGGAUAACGUAGGGAAACUUACGCUAAUACCGCAUACGACCUACGAGUGAAAGCAGGGGAUCUUCGGACCUUGCGCGAUUGAAUGAGCCGAUGUCGGAUUAGCUAGUUGGCGGGGUAAAGGCCCACCAAGGCGACGAUCCGUAGCUGGUCUGAGAGGAUGAUCAGCCACACUGGAACUGAGACACGGUCCAGACUCCUACGGGAGGCAGCAGUGGGGAAUAUUGGACAAUGGGCGCAAGCCUGAUCCAGCCAUACCGCGUGGGUGAAGAAGGCCUUCGGGUUGUAAAGCCCUUUUGUUGGGAAAGAAAAGCAGCAGGUUAAUACCCCGCUGUUCUGACGGUACCCAAAGAAUAAGCACCGGCUAACUUCGUG
rnacentral:rRNA from 1 species